rnacentral:rRNA from 1 species
GAUGAACGCUGGCGGCGUGCCUAAUACAUGCAAGUCGAGCGAACAGACGAGGAGCUUGCUCCUCUGACGUUAGCGGCGGACGGGUGAGUAACACGUGGAUAACCUACCUAUAAGACUGGGAUAACUUCGGGAAACCGGAGCUAAUACCGGAUAAUAUAUAGAACCGCAUGGUUCAAUAGUGAAAGACGGUUUUGCUGUCACUUAUAGAUGGAUCCGCGCCGCAUUAGCUAGUUGGUAAGGUAACGGCUUACCAAGGCAACGAUGCGUAGCCGACCUGAGAGGGUGAUCGGCCACACUGGAACUGAGACACGGUCCAGACUCCUACGGGAGGCAGCAGUAGGGAAUCUUCCGCAAUGGGCGAAAGCCUGACGGAGCAACGCCGCGUGAGUGAUGAAGGUCUUCGGAUCGUAAAACUCUGUUAUUAGGGAAGAACAAAUGUGUAAGUAACUAUGCACGUCUUGACGGUACCUAAUCAGAAAGCCACGGCUAACUACGUG